rnacentral:rRNA from 1 species
CCUACGGGAGGCAGCAGUAGGGAAUUUUCCACAAUGGGCGAAAGCCUGAUGGAGCAAUACCGCGUGCAGGAUGAAGGCCUUCGGGUCGUAAACUGCUUUUAUGUGCGAAGAAUUUGACGGUAACACAUGAAUAAGGAUCGGCUAACUACGUGCCAGCAGCCGCGGUCAUACGUAGGAUCCAAGCGUUAUCCGGAAUUACUGGGCGUAAAGAGUUGCGUAGGUGGCAUUAUAAGUGGAGCGUGAAAGCGUGCGGCUCAACCGCAUUAUUGCGUCCCAAACUGUGAAGCUUGAGUAUGGGAGAGGUAGAUGGAAUUUCUAGUGUAGGAGUGAAAUCCGUAGAUAUUAGAAGGAACACCGAUGGCGUAGGCAGUCUACUGGCCCAUUACUGACACUAAGGCACGAAAGCGUGGGGAGCAAACGGGAUUAGAUACCCCGGUAGUCCACGCUGUAAACUAUGGAUGCUAGCUGUGACACACAUCGACCUGUGUCGUAGCGAAGUUAACGCGUUAAGCAUCCCGCCUGGGGAGUACGGUCGCAAGAUUAAAACUCAAAGGAUUGACGG